CUGGAAAACAACAGGCAGCGCCGGGCAGGAUAUGGGUUCACAGCCCGUCUCCUCCCACUGACCCUCCCGCAGGCACUCCAACUUGAAGUACUUCCUACAGACACAGGAGUCCAUGAAAACUGGUCCAACACUUCCUGGUCCCAGUGAAAAUCUCAGCGUCAGUAAUGAACAUUAAUUACAGUUCAAAGGUUAUCGUUGUGUGAGCCGGAGGACCGAGUCAACAGACCCUUGUACGACGCCAUCUCCACAGUAGGACUGUCCGUGGGUGUAGGAGAGCGGUGGCGACGGAGCGCUGACAAGACCGUCAGCUUCCGCCUGGACUGUGUAACUGUACUGGACUCCUCUGGUCACAGAGCUGCAGGAGAGGGAAAGACAACGACUCAGCUGGUUGUCACGACGGGGACAGGGAGGAAAGCCGAGAGAGUGCAGGUGACCAGCAGAGGGAGUUGGUGGAAUGCAGCCGGGCAGCUAACAAAGACCAAUCUACCUAUGCAGGUCAGUUGUCAAUAGUCUGGACUGAAGGCGUCUGAGACAAACAGAGAGGCAGAACAGCAGGAGAGAACACAGAGGCAAAGACAGAAUGGAGGGAUUUCACUCAGCCAAAACAAAACCAUCGUUCCAUCUGUUCAUGCAACAGACCAACACUGAAGCACAUCUGCAGCACAGAUGUCUCACUCUGGAGACGGCAAAAGGUCAGGGAACCCCUCCAUCCGUCUCAGUGCUUUAUGUUUUCACAGGUAAAAUGUGCACUGCAUGUAAAUUCUGACGCAGAACAGAAAGAAUAUAUUUUGAAGAUUUUAUUUUAAAAAACGGCACUUGGUGAGAUGUUCUUGCACAUUUUGUUUAUAUAGUAAUUAAAUUAAUCGCUUUGGUUCUCAAACUUUGGCAUGUGUACUUCUGGUGGUCCUUGGGCUCCCUCUUGUGGUACAAAGGGGAAUGUCAUUUCUCAUUAAGAUUAAGAGAGUCUUUGAUGACAAAUACAGCUGUCUUUAUUCUUUCUUUCUCUGUGUGUGGGGGUUUCAGAAUAAAAGACAAGUUCUAGUGCUACUUUAUAGGAUCCUAAUGUUUUUGGAAAAAAAAAAUUUAACAACAAUUUCUGCAAAACUGGACAUCAAUGAACACAAUAGAAUUAAAUUGAAUGAAGCAUGUGCACAUUCUUUUGUGGGCCUUCAGUAAAAAAAUGAAAAAUCUUUGACUGUCAACCAUUUACCGCACCCCACACUUUGGGAACCACUUGUUUUUUAUGCAGACAGAAUCAUGCAGUUCUCACCCACCUGCUAUGACUGC